GGGUUGUGAGGUUAAGCGACUAAGCGUACACGGUGGAUGCCCUGGCAGUCAGAGGCGAUGAAGGACGUGCUAAUCUGCGAUAAGCGUCGGUAAGGUGAUAUGAACCGUUAUAACCGGCGAUUUCCGAAUGGGGAAACCCAGUGUGWUUCGWCACACUAUCAUUAACUGAAUCCAUAGGUUAAUGAGGCGAACCGGGGGAACUGAAACAUCUAAGUACCCCGAGGAAAAGAAAUCAACCGAGAUUCCCCCAGUAGCGGCGAGCGAACGGGGAGSAGCCCAGAGCCUGAAUCAGUGUGUGUGUUAGUGGAAGCGUCUGGAAAGGCGCGCGAUACAGGGUGACAGCCCCGUACACAAAAAU
rnacentral:rRNA from 1 species